UGGACGCUCACGAGCUGCGGAUGGAGGUUUCAAUUUUUUUAAACUAACUGCAAGAAUGGACAGAGUCAGAGAUAUAUGGUAUAAACAACUCUGGUUGUUCAAACUGAUGGCCAAACCGAUUAACAAAUAAAUGGAAAUAGAUAACUUGUAGAUUCACUGGAAAAAAACAGGGAACGAUUGAAAUGAAAGUCAACGCAUUUUUGUUUUGAUUGGUGACUUGCCACUUGGAAAGCACAAAGAAAGCAUUUUUAAAGAAAGUACAAGCACUUAAAGAAGUAGUGGAAAAUAAUCAACAAAACAGAAGUCAUUAGAGGCGAUGAUUUCUAUAUUUAUACAUGUACAUGUAUCUAGACUAGUAGUGGAUUUGAAAAGUGCUGUAUUGAUUCAUGUGCAAAUAAGGAGCAGCAGCCAACAUGGCCAAUGAAACAUUGCAAAUGUAUGAUUAGAGAGGUCAUUUUUCCACAAAAACAAGCUAAUAUAUUAUGUCAAUGGGCCUGAUGAAGUUGAGUUUUUUUGGACUUUUGGGAGAAAUGGAACAUAUAUAAGUGAAGAAAAGUAAAGAAAAGGGGAAAAUAUUACAGACGCAGUACAUGGACACCAGCAUGAGCAAGUUAAGACAAGAGUCAGCCAUGGAAAGAAACUGUUAAAAGAAGAAAAAAAAGAUGAAGAAAUAGACUUUAACUUUUGUUACAUAUAUGUACAUUUGAUUAUACUAUUAACAAAUUUUUAAAAUAUAUUCUGUUACCAAA